UGAGGAAUAUUGGUCAAUGGACGCGAGUCUGAACCAGCCAAGUAGCGUGAAGGACUACAGCCCUAUGGGUUUUAAACUUCUUUUGUAUGGGAAUAACGCGCGCCACGUGUGGCCCAGUGCAUGUACCAUACGAAUAAGCAUCGGCUAAUUACGUGCCAGCAGCCGCGGUAAUACGGAAGAUGCGAGCGUUAUCCGGAUUUAUUGGGUUUAAAGGGAGCGUAGGCGGGCUGUUAAGUCAGCGGUAAAAUGUCAAGGCCCAACCUUGUCUUGCCGUUGAAACUGGCGGUCUUGAAUGCACACAAGGGGGAUGGAAUUCGUCGUGUAGCGGUGAAAUGCUUAGAUAUGACGAAGAACUCCGAUUGCGAAGGCAGUUCCCUGGAGUGCGAUUGACGCUGAGGCUCGAAAGUGCGGGUAUCAAACAGG
rnacentral:rRNA from 1 species